rnacentral:rRNA from 1 species
AUGCAUACCACUCCAUUGUGUUUAUAUAUAGGCACGGGGCCUGGUGGCACUUGCACAGAUGUAAACAAGGACAAGUUCCUGUCCAAAAUGGUACCGGUCAUAGUCCUAGUGCUCGUUGCAUCGCCACUCUUGUUGCUGGCCAAUGCUGUAUGGAUCACCGCCUCAUGCUACUACCUCACGCCGGCGAGGAUCCGGAGGAUCUUGUCCAGACAAGGCGUCCACGGCCCCACGCCACGCCUUCUCGUCGGUAACCUCCAUGACGUCUCCGCCCUGGUCGCCGAGUCCACCGCCGGGGACAUGGGCUCUCUCAGCCACAAUAUCGUCGGCCGCCUCCUGCCGCACUACGUUCUCUGGUCCAAGAAGUUCGGGAGGUUGUUCGUCUACUGGUACGGGAGCGAGCCACGGGUGUGCGUGACGGACGCCGUCAUGGUGCGGGAGCUGCUCUCGUCGAAGCAUGCGCACGUGACCGGCAAAUCGUGGCUGCAGCGGCAGGGCGCCAAGCACUUCAUCGGCCGUGGCCUGCUCAUGGCGAACGGUGCCACCUGGUCGCACCAGCGCCACGUCGUUGCCCCCGCCUUCAUGGCUGACAAGCUCAAGGGCAGGGUCGGGCACAUGGUGGAGUGCACGCGGCAGACGGUGCGAGCGCUGCAGGAGGCGGUGGCGCGGGGCGGAAACGAGGUGGAGAUGAGCGCGCACAUGACGAGGCUCGCCGGCGACGUCAUCGCGCGCACCGAGUUCGACACCAGCUACGAGACCGGCAAGCGCAUCUUCCACCUAAUUGAGGAGCUUCAGCGGCUCACCGCACGCUCCAGCCGCUACCUCUGGGUCCCCGGUAGCCAGUAUUUUCCGAGCAAGUACAGAAGAGAGAUGAAACGGCUGAACGGGGAGCUAGAGCAGGUGCUCAAGGAGUCGAUCCAGCGCAACCGCGAGAUCGCCGACGAGGGGCGGAGGCCGUCAGCAGAGGCGUGCAGCCGGGGGCUCCUCGGGAUGCUCCUGGCCGAGAUGGAGAAGAAGGAGAACGCGUUCGGCCACGGCGAGCUGGGGUACGAUGCCCAGACGAUCAUUGACGAGUGCAAGACCUUCUUCUUCGCCGGCCACGAGACAUCGGCGCUGCUCCUCACCUGGGCCAUCAUGCUGCUUGCCACGCACCCGGAGUGGCAGGACAAGGCUCGCGCCGAGGUUGCCCAAGUUUGUGGCCACGCUCCACCCGCCGCAGAUCACCUCCCGAAGCUCGCCGUCCUGCAGAUGGUGAUCAACGAGACGCUGCGCCUGUACCCGCCGGCGACGCUGCUGCCGAGGAUGGCCUUCGAGGACAUCACGCUCGGCGGCGAGCUGCGGGUGCCGAGGGGCGCGUCGGUGUGGAUUCCCUUGCUGGCCAUCCACCACGACGAGGCCGUGUGGGGCGCGGACGCGCACGAGUUCAGGCCGGACAGGUUCGCGCCCGGCCGCGCCCGGCCAGGAGCGGGUCGGUUCCUGCCCUUCGCGGCCGGGCCACGCAACUGCGUCGGGCAGGCGUACGCCAUGGUGGAGGCCAAGAUCGUGCUGGCCAUGCUGCUCGCGAGCUUCCGCUUCGGUAUCUCUGACGAGUACCGCCACGCGCCGGUGAACGUCCUCACCCUCCGGCCGCGCCACGGCGUCCCCGUGCGCCUGCUGCCGCUGCGAAGCCUGUAG